GGGGGACAACCCUGGGAAACUGGGGCUAAUACCGCAUGGGAGCUGAGGCUCAAAGCCGGCGACGGCGCCUUUGGAGUGGCCUGCGUUCGAUUAGCUUGUUGGUGGGGUAAUGGCCUACCAAGGCUACGAUCGAUAGCUGGUCUGAGAGGACGACCAGCCACACUGGGACUGAGACACGGCCCAG
rnacentral:rRNA from 1 species